GGUCUGCCUAGCCCCGGGAUCUCCUUUACUUUGGCUGGAGAGGGCGGAACCGGCCCCGGGGCAGGCUGGGAGAUGUAGUUCCUGACUCUCCCUGAACAGGAAGUGACGUUGGCGAGGGAGGUGGAUCCGGACUACCAGCGCGCGCGGGCCGCUCCGGCUCUGCCUGGUUCGCGCGGGGUCGUUGGAGCCUCUCCCGGGACGGAGAAGGGGGCCGGUGACCUUCGAGGAGGUGGCUGUGUAUUUCACCAGGGAAGAGUGGGCUCUGCUAGACCCCCCUCAGAGAGCCCUCUACAGAGAUGUCAUGCAGGAGAACUAUGAGAAUGUGACCUCAUUGGAUUGAGUGGAUGUUUGCAGGGAACUAUCCACAGUGACUCGAAGGUCUCUCUGUU